rnacentral:lncRNA from 1 species
UUUUCCAGUUUUACAGAACCCAUUGUAAAACCCUAUUUUCUGGAUCUCAGAUCAUCAAUUGGCGCCGUCUGUGGGGACGAAGGAGAUCUUUUCAUCACCGGAGUUCCACUCUCACAAUACCCACUGAGAUCCACAAUGGCUAACCACAACGAAAACAACGUCACUCCCAAUGACCUGAGCUCUACCCAAGAGGGGCAGCAGUUCUC